rnacentral:hammerhead_ribozyme from 1 species
AUCCAGCUGACGAGUCCCAGUUGGGAUGAGAUGCGUAUCCUGGAU